UUGGUGGUAAAACUUAGAAACUGCCUUGGUGGGAGGUUUGAGCUGAUAAUGUAGAUGGCACUCGGCCUUACCUUCUGCAGAAACAAUAUCUUAAGGAGACAGCUACAAAUGCAGUGUGACCUGACAGUGGUUGUGAAGCAAAUUAUUGAAGAGCAAUGAAUCUUUAAUCCAGCGUAUACAUCUCUCUAAUCUAGUUAUUCCAAAUCUGACAGCUCAACUGGCUGUGGUGUCUCAGGUUGUAAUUGCUGAGACUCUGCAGAACAGCAAGAGGCUGCAACACCCUCCUCUGUGCAUGACUGGUGUGUACCUUCAAUCACAGCAAGGCUGGAGAGCAGCACACACCACCACCCUGCUUUGCUUUACAUCGGCUGGCCUUCGACACGUGGAUCCAAAGCUUUCGACGAGUUUCUCAGACCUUAAAAAAAUCCUGUUCCCUAUGUACUGUACAGUGGUAAAGUUAUGCUGACAGUUCAGGAAUUGGUCUGCCACCGUCUUCAGGCUUGCUGGAGCUCAGGUGCCUACUUCUGGCUUUCUGCUAGUGGUGUGAUUCCCCCUUAUUUCAGCCUGAGGGAAGGGUUUGCUGUGGCUAUCAGCAAGAACAUUCAUUCUGCACUACGUACAGGGACCUCACAAAAGGCCUCUAAAGGCAGACGUGGGAGGGGACAGACAUUUGCUCUGGUCAGAGGCAUGCAGUCUUGAAGGAAUUUUCUAAAUCUUGCACCAAGUUCUGCAGGGUUCCCUUUUAUCUGCUGAAUGCCCAACAACUGCCCACUUAUGUUAAAGAGAAGCUCUAACACGUGAACACUGUAUUAGGGACAACGGAGACCAUUCACGUUGCAAAUUACUUUAACACAUCCCCCCAAAAGCUGGGGAGUUCCUGGGCUGUCCUAUGGCUGCCAACCUCCCUGACCUAUGGGGAGGGGCCCCUGCCAGGCCCCUCUGUCCCACUGCUGCCCAGAAACAAGUCCUUUGGGUCAAGACAAGGUUCUCUGUGCCCAGAAACAAAUCCUUUUGGUCAAGACAGGGUUCUCUGUGCCCAGAAACAAGUCCUUUUGGUCGAGACAGGGUUCUCUGGUGAGGAGGAGGUUAGGAAGGCUGUAUAGCAUGAAGUGAGGGGAGAAACGGAUGGACAUGUUUUGAUCCCUGCACUUUCUGUUAACAUCUCUGCUUCCUGCAGGAAAUCUUGUCUCAAUCUGACCUGCAGUCUGAAAAACAAGAGUCGAGUUUCCUCUCAUUUGGUAGGUCUUUUGACACUCCAAAUGCAAGAAAAAUAACACCCGGAAAUAGAUAUGUGCCUGUUCAACACACACUUAGGAAAGCAUUUACCUCCUGCACAGCUCUUGCAUGAUGAAAGCUUUCGCUAAGAAAUGUCCAUUUUGGGUUAAACAGAACUCUAAGUCUGAGACAGUUUUGUUUAUAUCAUUUACAUUCAGUAAUGCCUUCUUGGCACAGAAACUUGCACGAUGGCUGCCAAAGUUUAAAAGAGGCAAAGCUGAGGUCGUUGUCAGAGGUAGAAACAAUACAUCAUCUGCCCAGAAUGGGCCCCUCACAGCACGCUGAGGGCCCCAGUUCCUGCACUCAUGGGAAGACAAAAACUUUUAUUAAAUUGAAUAUAGUGAGGAAAAUAAAUUAUUUCUGUGUACUAAAUGACAGGCUGGAAUUUCAUUUUGUGACUCUGGCUUGUUAGAUAGUUUUAUCUAUGUUUAAAGCUACCCUCUUAAUCAACUGUGAUACAGCACAGCUUGAAGUGUAACAAGCAAACCUAAAACAUCACAAUCUGCUUAAGAUAAAUUAUAAAAUAACAACUGAGAAAUCUGGUUUCCAAGUGGAUUUGAGGCUUUCUUUCCUUCCCAUGCUGUGACUGGUAGAAGAAUGAAUCUAUUAUUCUACUACGUUCAGUUGCAAUGUAUGUUGGAGAAAGAUGGUUAUAGAAGAACACCUCUGUAUUUCAAGGAUCACUGAUACUCAAACCCUCUUAAAAACUCUUGCUAGUCCUCUAUUUUCAGGAUGCAAUGACUGUACAAUAGAUCCUUCACUUUCAUUUCAAUCACAAGGAUCCACAGCCCUAAUGACUACUUACAAAUUAGUUGCCUAGCAGGCUCCCUUAGUGUAAAGAAAUAUAGGCUGCAACUCAAAAAUCACUGAGAUACCUGGAGCUCCUAGAAGCAAGAGAAUCUCUGAGAGCAAGCUGAUCCCCUUAAAGUGCUUGCUUGGCUGGCAGUUAGCUGGAUGAGUUAAUCUGUAAAUACAGAUUUCCAGCUACCCACAAUCUCUCUAUGUAAGGAAUUGCACUUGAGUUCAUUGAAAAGAGACACCAAACACUGCCACAUGCAGGGAGUAGGUGUGGGUGGCCAGUUAAUAUGGCAGGAAUUUAUCUCUGCAUAUGAGCUCAAGUCCUGGAUCAUGAGGGCAUUUGAUGUUCAAACUAAAUUUGUCAAAACAUAAAAUGUAUUUUUUAAGAAACAGGUUUGGAAGACCAGGCAGCAGUUCUCCCACCAGCAGCACUUGAUAGAACUAAGAAAAAGGGUCAAUAUGAGGCUCGUUAAAACUCCUCUUAAGUCAAAGUAUUGGACUUGAUACUAUUUGCUUAGACCAAAACAUAACAUAGAAGGUAAGGGGCUAGGCUUGUGAUAUGUUAAAACCCACCAAAACUCCCCACAGCUGUGCUGGCCUGGCUAGACAAUGAGGAACAUGGAGAAAGCCCAGGACUUGUAACCCUGCAUUUAUUCUGCUUUCCUCAAGUGAAUCUGUCUAUAAUUUUAGAUUCUACUUUUAGUAGAUCACAAAUUGUUUGCUGUGGUUCUGAGAAUAAGAACCAACCUGCAGGAAAGAUGAGGUGAUCCAAGUGUUAUACUUAUAAAAUACUGUCUGUCUGAAUGUAUCAGCAUUACUGUAAGAUUUGAACAGCUUUGUAAAAUUUAAUUAGCUGCUUUGAUCUAUUAUAAUUAUUCUGGAACCCACACAAAACCUAAAUAAACCAUGAGGAAAAUACAUUCUCUCCAUUUAAUUUAAUAAUUUCAUUGUGGCUUUCUAAAAGAGGAGGAGCAAUUCUAGAGGGUAGCAAAAUAGGCAUCAGGUUGUUGGCAACUUUUCUGGGAUAGAGAAACUGGGGAGAGGCACAGGUAUUAAUUGUGACAUUUCAUUAAUAUGUUCAGAAAAUGGAAGGUGACACCCAGUAUCACUUUUUAGGUAGCAUUUAUGUGUAUGCAUCUAAUUUGGUUAACAGGAUACAGUUGCUUUUGUUUCUAUGCAAAUACAUAUUAUCCGAAUUGUAUGAUUUGGCUUUGUAAUAUCUGUGCCUGCAGCUUUUGGAAACUGCACUGCAUCAUUAUUUUUCACGCUUCUUAAAGCAGCAUGGAAAAGAUUCUCUGGUCUUAGAUUUAAAUUUCACUUAAAUCAUGUUUCAAAGUCCUUUUAUGGUGCACUUAAUAGAAGUGAUCUAGAAGACUUUCCUUAGCGUUAAUUCUCACCUAGCAUCUAUCAGUAAAAUGAAAUAUUUUCUUCUAGUUGUCAAUUACCAAAGCAACAGGACCACUGCUAUAAGUUGUUUCUUAUCUAUCUUAUACAAGUACACAAAAUCCCUCAAACAAAACAGCAAAACCAAAAAAGCCUGGGUGGAGGCGAAGAGGAGAAUUGGCUUUGGGAUAAAAACAAUUUAGUACACAUCUUGCUUAUCUAAU